UGGGGAAUAUUGGACAAUGGGCGAAAGCCUGAUCCAGACAUGCCGCGUGUGUGAAGAAGGUCUUCGGAUUGUAAAGCACUUUAAGUUGGGAGGAAGGGCAUUAACCUAAUACGUUAGUGUUUUGACGUUACCGACAGAAUAAGCACCGGCUAACUCUGUGCCAGCAGCCGCGGUAAUACAGAGGGUGCAAGCGUUAAUCGGAAUUACUGGGCGUAAAGCGCGCGUAGGUGGUUUGUUAAGUUGGAUGUGAAAUCCCCGGGCUCAACCUGGGAACUGCAUUCAAAACUGACUGACUAGAGUAUGGUAGAGGGUGGUGGAAUUUCCUGUGUAGCGGUGAAAUGCGUAGAUAUAGGAAGGAACACCAGUGGCGAAGGCGACCACCUGGACUAAUACUGACACUGAGGUGCGAAAGCGUGGGGAGCAAACA
rnacentral:rRNA from 1 species